AUUUUUUUAGUAUAUAAGUACAUUUGACUUCCAAUCAAAAAGUUUGAAUUUCAAGAAAAAUA
rnacentral:tRNA from 1 species